UACGAGGGGGGCAAGCGUUGUUCGGAAUUAUUGGGCGUAAAGGGUGCGUAGGCUGUGCGGUAAGUCACCUGUGAAAACUCUGGGCUCAGCCCAGAGCCUGCAGGCGAAACUGCCGUGCUGGAGUAUGGGAGAGGUGCGUGGAAUUCCCGGUGUAGCGGUGAAAUGCGUAGAUAUCAUUUGGAACGCCAAUGGUGAAAACAGCUCGCUGGGGGUUUGCUGACGCUGAGACACGAAAGCCAGGGGAGCAAACGGG
rnacentral:rRNA from 1 species